rnacentral:rRNA from 1 species
UGGGGAAUUUUGGACAAUGGGCGAAAGCCUGAUCCAGCAAUGCCGCGUGUGUGAAGAAGGCCUUCGGGUUGUAAAGCACUUUUGUCCGGAAAGAAAUGGCUCUGGUUAAUACCUGGGGUCGAUGACGGUACCGGAAGAAUAAGGACCGGCUAACUACGUGCCAGCAGCCGCGGUAAUACGUAGGGUCCAAGCGUUAAUCGGAAUUACUGGGCGUAAAGCGUGCGCAGGCGGUUGUGCAAGACCGAUGUGAAAUCCCCGAGCUUAACUUGGGAAUUGCAUUGGUGACUGCACGGCUAGAGUGUGUCAGAGGGGGGUAGAAUUCCACGUGUAGCAGUGAAAUGCGUAGAGAUGUGGAGGGAAUACCGAUGGCGAAGGCAGCCCCCUGGGAUAACACUGACGCUCAUGCACGAAAAGCGUGGGGAGCAAACAGGAUUAGAUACCCCUGGUAGUCCACGCCCUAAAACGAUGUGCAACUAGUUGUUGGGGAUUCAUUUCCUUAGUAACGUAGCUAACGCGUGAAGUUGACCGCCUGGGGAGUACGGUCGCAAAGAUUAAAAAGCUUAAAAUGAAAUUUGACGGGGGUCAUAAGCUGUUUCC